UGCAGCGAUAAACCCGAACUUUAAGACUCCUGAACGCGGCUCAGACGAACACACGGGUGUAUCCGGUCCUUUUUCUAAAUAAUAUAUUUUUCCGACCGAUUAAAACAAAUAAAAAUAAACUUUUUGGUUGGGGACCCCUGUGCAAGACGACAUAGUUUACCACUCUGCGGGAAUAUUCUGCCAUAUAAUCUAUUCUUUAUUCAAACCUUUAAAAACAUCCACCGUAGAGAUUGAACUUGUAAGUGCAGAGGCAGAGGAGAGGGGAUGAAGAUGUGAAAGGAUAAUGGAGACGCUGAUUCAGCUUAACUCGUGUCUCUGAUCCAGAAAAAGAAGAUGCGGCCGUUCACCAGAAGAGGGCGCCACCUCCCGGCUCGCGGUCAGAAAGCCUUCACAGCUUCUUCACUGAAUCACGACAGCUUUUACAAAACGUCUUUUAUUAUCAUCUCAGGAAUACAGUUGACUGCUGUGCACAGCACAUACGUACAAAAAUAAAAGGAAAACCAUUUGUAAUAUAGUA